UUAGCUCAUAUUUGUAUCGAAUGGGAUCGUUUGCCUACGUUUGCCACUAGGGGCGCUGUUCCAACUGCAUACAAAAUUGGGCUA
rfam:Bombyx mori DNA, contig: Bm_scaf51_contig26600, strain: p50T/Dazao, build 2, whole genome shotgun sequence.